rnacentral:rRNA from 1 species
GACGAACGCUGGCGGCAUGCCUAAUACAUGCAAGUCGAGCGAACAGAUGAAGUGCUUGCACUUCUGACGCUAGCGGCGGACGGGUGAGUAAUGCUUAGGAAUCUGCCUAUUAGUGGGGGACAACAUUCCGAAAGGAAUGCUAAUACCGCAUACGCCCUACGGGGGAAAGCAGGGGAUCUUCGGACCUUGCGUUAAUAGAUGAGCCUAAGUCAGAUUAGCUAGUUGGUGGGGUAAAGGCCUACCAAGGCGACGAUCUGUAGCGGGUCUGAGAGGAUGAUCCGCCACACUGGGACUGAGACACGGCCCAGACUCCUACGGGAGGCAGCAGUGGGGAAUAUUGGACAAUGGGGGGAACCCUGAUCCAGCCAUGCCGCGUGUGUGAAGAAGGCCUUUUGGUUGUAAAGCACUUUAAGCGAGGAGGAGGCUACUGGUAUUAAUACUACCGGAUAGUGGACGUUACUCGCAGAAUAAGCACCGGCUAACUCUGUGCCAGCAGCCGCCGUAA